rnacentral:rRNA from 1 species
UACGGAGGGUGCGAGCGUUGCUCGGAAUUACUGGGCGUAAAGCGUACGCAGGCUGUCCCAUAAGACGGGUGUGAAAGCCCGGGGCUCAACCCCGGAAUUGCGCCCGUGACUGUGAGGCUUGAAUGCGGGAGAGGGAAGCGGAAUUCCUGGUGUAGAGGUGAAAUUCGUAGAUAUCAGGAGGAACACCGGUGGCGAAAGCGGCUUCCUGGCCCGACAUUGACGCUCAUGUACGAGAGCGUGGGGAGCAAACAGG